rnacentral:rRNA from 1 species
UACGAAGGGGGCUAGCGUUGCUCGGAAUCACUGGGCGUAAAGCGCACGUAGCCGGCUUUCUAAGUCAGGGGUGAAAUCCUGGAGCUCAACUCCAGAACUGCCUUUGAUACUGGAGAGCUUGAGUCCGGAAGAGGUGAGUGGAACUCCGAGUGUAGAGGUGAAAUUCGUAGAUAUUCGGAAGAACACCAGUGGCGAAGGCGGCUCACUGGUCCGGUACUGACGCUGAGGUGCGAAAGCGUGGGGAGCGAACCGG